GCGUUCGUAGCCAAAUCAGGUAAGGCGUUCCGCUGAUAACGGAAAGAUUUGUUGGUUCAAAUCCAACCGGACGCA
rnacentral:tRNA from 1 species